GUCGACUGCCACCUUGUCAUUGUUGACAUUUUUCACACUGUCAAUAUGUCCUGAUCCAUAAAGGUGAUGUUUAUUCCUGCCAUGCGCAUCAUUUAAGUUUUGCUUUAUAUCUUUGCAGAUGAAACAGGUUGGAAAAGAACUUAGAUAAAACCACGGGUUCUGCCUUUUAACGGUAAAUCCUUUAUCAUUUCAAUGAAGUCA